CAGUCUUUCGAACGUACAUAGUGCAGAGAAUAUGUGGCCGGUCGAAUUUUUUUGGGGGGGGUAACUAUCUGCAUCAACUCAUAGCAAAAUGCUUCAAAGACACUACGAACUCCAGUGUCGACCAGCCACCAUGAGUGUAAAUUAGCCGUUUGAAUGGACUCCCAUCUUAACUCAUGUGGAUGGACGUCAGAAGUCCUAUGGGCUGUGUCCACUCAAGCGAAACCCCUGAGGCUUGAUGGAAGACUAUAUGAUUUAAAUGGUGUUGUGGCCUCAGAGGGUGAAGGGACAGUUACUUGGUCUGCUAACCUGGGUGUGAUCCCAUAAAUAUUCCAAUGAUGUUACUCCCGUGUGAGCAGUGCCGGAGGGUCAAGAGGACAGUUGAUUGGUCUGCCAACCUGGAUGUGAACCCCUGAAAAUACAGCAAGUAAUGCCAUUGGAAUCAGAUCAGGUAAUGGGGUCAAAGACGUGCCAAGGACAGGACUCAAGAACUGAAAUUCACCAAAGGAAUGAUCAGUGCCUGACUAAAAGAAACUAGUUCAAUGCAAACAUUAGAAAAUGUCAAGUUUAAUGGCGUACUAAAACCAGAAAGUCACAGGGCUCUAAGCCCCACAGUUAAUCGGUGUGAAAGGCUGAAUUGUAAGGUGCUUGAGUGCGUCCAGGAAGAACUGCUCGUCCUGCAGAAAGUCACGAUCCUAAGAAGAUGAAACAAGUACAUUGAUCGACAAUAAAGAUUUUGAAACUAU